ACUGGCACCAGAGGCAUUACAUGUGUGACUGCUGUGUCACAUGUGUGUCAGUAGGUGACAUAGAGGAGACAGGCUUUGUCUAUGUUCAGUGUUCUGACCUACCAACAUCUGCAUGAUUAGUAGCCUAAUAUU